AGUAACACGUAGGUAACCUGCCCUCAGGAUUGGGAAUACUCCCGGGAAACCGGGCACAAUACCGAAUGCUAUUCCAUGGUGAAAUUCCGCGGAAUGAAAGUUGCGAGCAAUCGUGACACCUGAGGAGGGGCCUGCGGCCUAUCAGCUUGUUGGUGAGGUAACGGCUCACCAAGGCAAAGACGGGUAGCCGGACUGAGAGGUCGAUCGGCCACACUGGAACUGAGACACGGUCCAG
rnacentral:rRNA from 1 species